rnacentral:rRNA from 1 species
UGGGGAAUUUUGGACAAUGGGGGAAACCCUGAUCCAGCCAUCCUGCGUGUGCGAUGAAGGCCUCCGGGUUGUAAAGCACUUUUGGCAGGAAAGAAACGUCAUGGGUUAAUACCCCGUGAAACUGACGGUACCUGCAGAAUAAGCACCGGCUAACUACGUGCCAGCAGCCGCGGUAAUACGUAGGGUGCAAGCGUUAAUCGGAAUUACUGGGCGUAAAGCGUGCGCAGGCGGUUCGGAAAGAAAGAUGUGAAAUCCCAGAGCUCAACUUUGGAACUGCAUUUUUAACUACCGAGCUAGAGUGUGUCAGAGGGAGGUGGAAUUCCGCGUGUAGCAGUGAAAUGCGUAAAAAUGCGGAGGAACACCGAUGGCGAAGGCAGCCUCCUGGGAUAACACUGACGAUCAUGCACGAAAGCGUGGGGAGCAAACAGG